UACGUAGGGGGCAAGCGUUGUCCGGAAUCAUUGGGCGUAAAGCGCGUGUAGGCGGUUCGGUAAGUCUGCUGUGAAAGUCCAGGGCUCAACCCUGGGAUGCCGGUGGAUACUGUCGAACUAGAGUACGGAAGAGGCGAGUGGAAUUCCCGGUGUAGCGGUGAGAUGCGCAGAUAUCGGGAGGAACACCAAUUGCGAAGGCAGCUCGCUGGGACGUCACUGACGCUGAGACGCGAAAGCGUGGGGAGCAAACAGGG
rnacentral:rRNA from 1 species